GCGGUCCUGUUGGCUCAAAAAGCUGUUAAGUUAAACGUCUGUCUCUCUGCUUUGGCAGCAGACAAGGUGCCCAAUUUUGACAGACCCGUCGCGAUCCAAUAGGAAUGCUGGAGAGUCUGCAAAAUCUGCCCCCCCCACUGAACCCACAUGGUCAGGCAAUACGGCACGCCAGGGAUUGCAAUAAACUCCCGGCAAAAGAAGAGCAGCCAC